rnacentral:rRNA from 1 species
UUUGACCUCAAAUCAGGUAGGACUACCCGCUGAACUUAAGCAUAUCAAUAAGCGGAGGAAAAGAAACUAACAAGGAUUCCCCUAGUAACUGCGAGUGAAGCGGGAAAAGCUCAAAUUUGAAAUCUGGCAGUCUUUUUUUUCUUCUUUGGCUGUCCGAGUUGUAAUCUAGAGAAGUGCUUACCUGCGCUGGACCAUGUAUAAGUCUCCUGGAAUGGAGCCUCACAGAGGGUGAGAAUCCCGUCUUUGACAUGGACUGCCAGUGUGUUGUGGUGUGCUCUCAAAGAGUCGAGUUGUUUGGGAAUGCAGCUCUAAAUGGGUGGUAAACUCCAUCUAAAGCUAAAUAUUGGCGAGAGACCGAUAGUGAACAAGUACCGUGAGGGAAAGAUGAAAAGGACUUUGGAAAGAGAGUUAAACAGUAUGUGAAAUUGUUGAAAGGGAAACGCUUGAAGUCAGUUAUGUUGACUAGGGAUCAACCUAGCUAUUUUUUUUUUU